rnacentral:rRNA from 1 species
CCUACGGGAGGCAGCAGUGAGGAAUAUUGGUCAAUGGGUGUAAGCCUGAACCAGCCAAGUCGCGUGAGGGAUGAAGGUUCUAUGGAUCGUAAACCUCUUUUAUACGGGAAUAAAGUGUGGGACGUGUCCUGUUUUGUAUGUACCUUAUGAAUAAGGAUCGGCUAACUCCGUGCCAGCAGCCGCGGUAAUACGGAGGAUCCGAGCGUUAUCCGGAUUUAUUGGGUUUAAAGGGUGCGUAGGCGGCCUUUUAAGUCAUCGGUGAAAGUCGGUGGCUCAACCAUAGAAUUGCCGUUGAAACUGGGAGGCUUGAGUAUGUUUGAGGCAUGCGGAAUGCGUGGUGUAGCGGUGAAAUGCAUAGAUAUCACGCAGAACCCCGAUUGCGAAGGCAGCCUGCCAAGCCAUGACUGACGCUGAUGCACGAAAGCGUGGGUAUCAAACAGGAUUAGAUACCCCUGUAGUC